rnacentral:rRNA from 1 species
GACAGAGGGUGCAAACGUUGUUCGGAAUUACUGGGCGUAAAGCGCGUGUAGGCUGUCUUGCAAGUCGGGUGUGAAAGCCCUGGGCUCAACCUAGGAAGUGCACUCGAAACUGCAGAACUUGAGUCCUGGAGAGGAAGGCGGAAUUCUCGGUGUAGAGGUGAAAUUCGUAGAUAUCGAGAGGAACACCGGUGGCGAAGGCGGCCUUCUGGACAGUGACUGACGCUGAGACGCGAAAGCGUGGGGAGCAAACAG